rnacentral:rRNA from 1 species
CGGACGGGUGAGUAACACGUGGAUAACCUACCUAUAAGACUGGGAUAACUUCGGGAAACCGGAGCUAAUACCGGAUAAUAUUUUGAACCGCAUGGUUCAAAAGUGAAAGACGGUCUUGCUGUCACUUAUAGAUGGAUCCGCGCUGCAUUAGCUAGUUGGUAAGGUAACGGCUUACCAAGGCAACGAUGCAUAGCCGACCUGAGAGGGUGAUCGGCCACACUGGAACUGAGACACGGUCCAGACUCCUACGGGAGGCAGCAGGG